rnacentral:rRNA from 1 species
GACGAACGCUGGCGGCGUGCUUAACACAUGCAAGUCGAACGGAAAGGCCCUGCUUUUGUGGGGUGCUCGAGUGGCGAACGGGUGAGUAACACGUGAGUAACCUGCCCUUGACUUUGGGAUAACUUCAGGAAACUGGGGCUAAUACCGGAUAGGAGCUCCUGCUGCAUGGUGGGGGUUGGAAAGUUUCGGCGGUUGGGGAUGGACUCGCGGCUUAUCAGCUUGUUGGUGGGGUAGUUGCUUACCAAGGCUUUGACGGGUAGCCGGCCUGAGAGGGUGAACGGCCACAUUGGGACUGAGGUACGGCCCAGACGCCUACGGGAGGCAGCAGUGGGGAAUAUUGCACAAUGGGCGGAAGCCUGAUGCAGCAACGCCGCGUGCGGGAUGACGGCCUUCGGGUUGUAAACCGCUUUCGCCUGUGACGAAGCGUGAGUGACGGUAAUGGGUAAAGAAGCACCGGCUAACUACGUG